CAAGUCUCAGGACUAUAAAGUGUCCCAGAGCACUGGAGCAUGGUGCUGCUGAUGCAAAGUGGCUCUCUAUGGAAAUGCUCUGACAGAGACAGGGUCAUUCUGAUGAUGAUGUUUAUCAACUGAUCAAUCAGUGAUCAAUCAGUGAAUAUUUCCACUUUCUUUUAAUGGAACUUUGUUUUUAUUCUUCUGGACACAUUUUGUUUCAAAACUUCUCCUUUUUGAUUAUUUUUUUUUAUAGUAAACUAACCUUAUAUUAAUUUGAAAAUGAAUGCAUGGAAUGAAAAAAUAAACCUUCUGGGAUUUUGCGGCUGUUGUUAUUUUUUUAUAUCAGACACCAUAAAUAUUGCAAAUAGAGACUAACUUUGAUGCGUCUGUUUGUUUCAGAGUCAGAGCUCUGUGUCGCUCUACAGGCAGAGGUUUUUGUACGACGGCUCAAUGAGUUUGUAUCACUGUGGUGGACUUUCGGUGGAGGAACCAGACUGGAUGUUGGAAGUGAUGUUCAUCCCACCCUGACGGUGCUGCCACCCUCCAGCGUGGAGGUGCAGAACGGGAAGGCCAUGCUCAUGUGCCUGGCCAACAAGGGCUUCCCCUCAGGCUGGAGCCUGGCCUGGAAGGUGGACGGCAGCAGCAGCAGCAGCAGCUGGGAGGUGAGCAGGAGCCCUGCAGUGCUGGGGAAGGACGGCACCUACAGCUGGAGCAGCACCCUGUGGCUCCCUGCAGACCAGUGGAGGAAGGCGGGCUCUGUGACCUGUGAGGCCACUCAGGGCUCCCAGACUCCAGUGUCAGAGACAUUGAUGACAGACCAGUGCUCCUAGUCCUGCCCUGACUCUCUGAGGCUUUGCUCCUGUUCUCAGUGUCCACUCUCACUGUGUCUCUCCGUCUCUUUGUCUCACUCAUUGUCUGACGCUAUGCUUCGUUCAUGAGGUUUUGUUGCUCAUUGUAAUGUUUGUUUAUUUUUUCAAUACAAUAAAGACCUGUUCAUCACA